rnacentral:rRNA from 1 species
GACGAACGCUGGCGGCGUGCUUAACACAUGCAAGUCGAACGGAAAGGCCCUGCUUUUGUGGGGUGCUCGAGUGGCGAACGGGUGAGUAACACGUGAGUAACCUGCCCUUGACUUUGGGAUAACUUCAGGAAACUGGGGCUAAUACCGGAUAGGAGCUCCUGCUGCAUGGUGGGGGUUGGAAAGUUUCGGCGGUUGGGGAUGGACUCGCGGCUUAUCAGCUUGUUGGUGGGGUAGUGGCUUACCAAGGCUUUGACGGGUAGCCGGCCUGAGAGGGUGACCGGCCACAUGGGGACUGAGAUACGGCCCAGACUCCUACGGGAGGCAGCAGUGGGGAAUAUUGCACAAUGGGCGGAAGCCUGAUGCAGCAACGCCGCGUGCGGUAUGACGGCCUUCGGGUUGUAAACCGCUUUCGCCUGUGACGAAGCGUGAGUGACGGUAAUGGGUAAAGAAGCACCGGCUAACUACGUG